CAACAAGCAGCGGGCGGGUCUCGGGCGGCGCGCGGGCGCUUGGUGGACGACGCUCAAGCGGAGGCGGGCAGCGCUUGGGAGUCAGGCGUGCGACCUUGCGGCUGUGCUCAGGCGGGGCGUUGCGUGAAGCGCUAGGGAGUCGGGUGUGCGACGGGCGGCGCUCGUUCCUCAGGCAUGUGCGGACGACGCUCAGACGCAUGGCUGUGUCGACCACUUGCAGACGACGCCGACACAGAUCCAGGUCCAGGUCCAGGUUAAGUAUUGUUUUUUGGUGUGUGGACGUGAUUCUUCUAGUGAGAUAUGUUCUGAAGCGGCAAGUUCAUGGAGCAUGGUUACCACCUUGGUUUGCGGCACAAUAUGCUCAUUACGCGG
rnacentral:lncRNA from 1 species